UACAGGGGGGGCAAGCGUUGUUCGGAAUUACUGGGCGUAAAGGGUCAGUAGGCGGCCAACUAAGUCCGACGUGAAAUCCCCAGGCUUAACCUGGGAACUGCGUCGGAUACUGGAUGGCUUGAAUUCGGGAGAGGGAUGCAGAAUUCCAGGUGUAGCGGUGAAAUGCGUAGAUAUCUGGAGGAAUACCGGUGGCGAAGGCGGCAUCCUGGACCGAGAUUGACGCUGAGGAGCGAAAGCUAGGGGAGCAAACGGG
rnacentral:rRNA from 1 species